rfam:Salmo salar isolate Sally breed double haploid chromosome ssa05, whole genome shotgun sequence.
ACUGUAGUAAUUUGUAAGUCGCUCUGUAUAAGAGCAUCUGCUAAAUGACUUACA